rnacentral:lncRNA from 10 species
UAGGCUGACUGAAAGAGAAAUCAAGGAUUAAUUGUAGGUUUUUACACUGAGCACUUGAAAAGAGCUGCUAUUUGCUGAUAUGAGUAAGGAGUAGUCUUGGAGGAAGAAAACCAAGAGUACUGUUUUGAACAAAAUGUUGAAGACUCCUGGUAAAUAUCGAAGUGUAAAUAUCAAAUAGGAAGUCAGAAAUAUGAGAAUCUGGAGUUUAGGAAAGAGAAGGGGGUUAGGUUUGUAAGAUCUCAUAUCAGUCUGAUUCUUAUUUUUUUGUAGAUAAUCUACCCUUUCUUUCUGUAAAUGUUUAGAAGCAUGAUGUCUAUGUGUGUAUAUAUACACACACACUCACUCCCCCCCGCCAGGACUGCCUCAGUUUUCAUCUCAGUAUUUGACUAAAACCUUCUAUUCAACUUCAGUUUCAGCCUUAGAAUAACCAGAUGUCUAAGUCAAUGUCAUUUGGGGCAUCUCUAGACUUGUGCAAUCACAAAAGUCACCAUUACCGCUACAUAGUACGUAUUAUGACCAAUGGAUAUCAUUCAGAGUUCUAGUUUACAUAUGCUAUUAUCAAACAUAUGUAAGCCUUUUAAUGUAACUUGGGAGUGAAAUUAGUAAAAUUCUAUCAAUUUACAUAAAUUAAUUUUACUGUAAAAAUAAAAUACAUUAUGAAAGUUUCUGUA